rnacentral:rRNA from 1 species
UCUGGGACAAGCCCUGGAAACGGGGUCUAAUACCGGAUAACACUUCCACUCUCCUGAGUGGUGGUUAAAAGCUCCGGCGGUGAAGGAUGAGCCCGCGGCCUAUCAGCUUGUUGGUGAGGUAAUGGCUCACCAAGGCGACGACGGGUAGCCGGCCUGAGAGGGCGACCGGCCACACUGGGACUGAGACACGGCCCAGACUCCUACGGGAGGCAGCAGUGGGGAAUAUUGCACAAUGGGCGAAAGCCUGAUGCAGCGACGCCGCGUGAGGGAUGACGGCCUUCGGGUUGUAAACCUCUUUCAGCAGGGAAGAAGCGAAAGUGACGGUACCUGCAGAAGAAGCGCCGGCUAACUACGUGCCAGCAGCCGCGGUAAUACGUAGGGCGCAAGCGUUGUCCGGAAUUAUUGGGCGUAAAGAGCUCGUAGGCGGCUUGUCACGUCGGGUGUGAAAGCCCGGGGCUUAACCCCGGGUCUGCAUUCGAUACGGGCAGGCUAGAGUGUGGUAGGGGAGAUCGGAAUUCCUGGUGUAGCGGUGAAAUGCGCAGAUAUCAGGAGGAACACCGGUGGCGAAGGCGGAUCUCUGGGCCAUUACUGACGCUGAGGAGCGAAAGCGUGGGGAGCGAACAGGAUUAGAUACCCUGGUAGUCCACGCCGUAAACGGUGGGAACUAGGUGUUGGCGACAUUCCACGUCGUCGGUGCCGCAGCUAACGCAUUAAGUUCCC